GUAGCUCAGUUGGUAGAGCAACUGAUUUGUAAUCAGUCGGUCGGAGGUUCGAGUCCUCUC
rnacentral:tRNA from 1 species